UGAAGGCUCCUCUUCCUCCGGUCUCAGUCCUCAGCCGCCGUCCUCAGAAAAUGGGGACCUCUCCCGGACGUUGACUGCUUGGCUUAGAUCAUCAUUUUCGACGGUGUGUAGUUUGAUUCCGCGACUUAUUUGUAUGACCCGCAAGAACAUAUUGAGGAUCCAUGCUCAAUUUUGACCAGUUUUCAAUGGUUCAAGUUCCUUCUUUUUCCUUUUUCUGUGGUGAAUUCCGAGGUAGAGAGAGAGAGAGAGAGAUGAAGGACAAGGAAUCUUCCUUCUGACUAAUCACCUCUUAUUUACUUGAAGAACUCGACAGACAGACAGACAGACUUCUACCUUAUUAUACAUCGGAAUUUUUUAUGGCAAAAGUCAAAGUGAAAAUCCUAAGCUUUCGACAAUCUGACGAAGGCGGCCAUGGAGUUCUUCUUCAAACUCAAAACCCUGGCGAAAUGAACCCUAAAGACGACCUCGUCUCCCACCAAAAACCUUCUCCUGGUGCAAAAGUCAAAACUGCUGGGGUGCUGCCGACCCUGUGACAAAGUCAACGCCAGCGGCGGCGCUUUCAGCCUCUCCCUGGCCUGGCGAACCUCCGAGCGAUCCCAUAGACCAGCGCCUUCGUCAAGAGGCCUCGGUCCAACGUGCAUGCUAGGGCGAUGGCCCCACCGAUCACCAGAAACCUUGGAAUGGCCUUCCCCAGCGGCUGGGUCUUCUCCGGCAGUUGACUUUCCACCAGCUCGCCAUUGCCACCGUCCAGCGAAUUCAACUCGUCGGCGCUGACUUUGGUGCUGAUUUGCGCUAAAAGGGCCGACGGCGAGAGGGGCUCACCGGCGGCUCUCGCUGCCUGGUAGGCCCGCAAGCCCGGUUCGAUCUUCUUGACGCAGCCCCACAUCCCCUGCCUCACGCCCAGCUUGGCGAUCUCCCACGGAAUCCCCAUGUCCUCGUAGUGGAAGAGCAGGACCUCGCACGCCGUCCGUUGACCGUCCCCUCUCAUCGACUCCACUGGAAGAGGAGGAGAAAACCGAGCUCAGGUUAAUCAAGAACACCCAUGAAAUCAAAUGCUUUGCCCCUGAGGAGCGAGAAGUCAACGAUUGGAUUCAGAGAUUGAGCGCACCUGCACGGAUGCACCAGCUGGAGUAGUACAGGUCAACCCGUCUUGGUUUAGUCUGCCUGGGGAUUGACUCGUUUUUUACACUCUGAGGCAAGAUGAUUCAAACAGAUGAGUUGAACGCCCAUGAGAAGGGGUGGAUGGUGAGAGAGAGCAUAACAUUAAGAACUCAUAAAAGGGGAAAAAAAAUUGAAUGAAUCUUCUUUUACUCACCCUAUAUGUGUAUACAUACUGAUUAAAAAUGCAUGUAUAUAUAUAUAUAAAUAUAAAUAUAUAUACAUAUAUAUACAGAGAGAGAGAGAGGGAGGGGGGAGGCAAGAGUUAGCAUAAGCUUAAGAACACAACGAGGAAAAAAGAAUGAAUACUGGAUCGAUCUAUAAUUGAAAAUAUGUAGAAUUAGCAGAGAUAAAAUUAAUUCAGGCCCCCUGAACCAUGGCAUUCAGUUCAUACUCCAUGAGGCAGAAACGCCCAACAAAUAAUUUGUAUUCUUAAACUACCUUCCAGUAGAAGGUCAUUAAAAAAACUUGCAAAAGAAAAAACCAGCUGAAAUUCCACUUAAAUCGGAUCGUCAGGUAGAUGAUCGGUAAAAUUGAUCCUCUCUAAGGAUGAAUUCAGCACUCUGAAGCUGGAUACCUUGGUCACGCAGUAGUAUGCUCCAUCUGACUUCCAGAUCCUACGGCCAAUAAUAUACUCCCGGUCACUGCAGAAGAAGGGAAACUGGAGAAGGGAUGAAGGGGGUAAGCAUAGACACACAGAAGCACGCGGAUAAGAUUGAGAGAGAGGAGAGAGAGAGAGAGAGAGAGAGAGAGACCCACCUUUCUAACCCAAUGAACGAUCAUCAUCCCGGUUUUCGGGCAUUCCUCCAAGGUCUUGUGGUAGAUGAGCAUGUCGUCCCACCUGGCUUUCAUCCGGAAUUCAUCGUCCCAGAAGAAAUCCCUGACUGUCUCUGGGGCUGCAUCCUCAAAGAUUGUUCUACUGCGAUACUGUGGAGGACCAGUCUGGCAGAAGGAAAACCUGAUUAGGAAACCGAAACGGCCCGGAAUUGCCCUCUAAAUUUAAAAGAUUAGGAUGUAUUUUCCGGUUCCCAGAUGAAAAUUGUUAGAACAGGCGGUCAAUCAGGAACAGCUGAUACCUCGGGGUCUCUUCGCCAUGCUCUGUAGCUCAUGGUAGGUAAUGACUUGUCCAUCAUCUGCGUCCAUUCGCGGCCCCCGUCUGUCGUCUCUACGAGCUGGGAGAGGUAACCAAGGUCCUCUGUUGUCACAGAAAAUCCAUCGCCUCCAUCCUCAGACGACCUGGGUUCAACAACAAUUCAGAAACAAGCCGAAAACCAUAAAGGAUUAUGGAAACAAUUGGGGAAUCAUCGUACAUUGAGGUCGCCUUCCCGGUGGUCUCAUCCGCCUGGGCCUUGUGCGACUCCAAUCCAGAGGACAAUUCUGAGGAAGAAGAAGACCGCAAUUGGGGAUAACCAUGGCGAGAAUUCCCCUUGUCUCCGCACACCAAGUCGGCGGCCCACCUCGGCCGCCACGCCCAGCCGACCAAGAGACCAACAAAGAGGGCCAACCAGACAGGAACGGAGAAAAGUACGAGCUCAGCCACCACGCCGCCGAUCGUUGGCUGCCGCAAGGUCUCAACAAGAGCUCCGAAGACCAAACCCAUCUCCACCCAACAACUUACAUAGAAAAAAGAACAACGAGCGGUACAAAAACAACAAUGGAUGGCAAAACCCUCGAAGAAUCGAGGGUUCCGCGGGAGGAACUGCCUUCAGUCGAAAACGUGGCAAAGAGGCUGGGAAUCCGAAACAGGUGAGACUGGGCAGGAAGAAUAUAAGCAAGACGGAGGAGGAAAUAAGAGAUAUGGACUCCGCCGGCGCCGACGAUAAGGAUUCUGGAGAUGGAACCGAGGUGGGUAAUGGCGAAGAUUAAGCCCUAGGCUAAUCAGAGCACGGGGGAAGACAAGGUUCCCUUACUGCUCCCCGAAGAUACUUAUCUGGUCUCAACUCGUGGAGGGCGCUUCACAGAGGCUGUUCCCCAGAAGCCAAUGGAGACGGAGACGACUGGUUAAUAUCGUCCGGUGCGAGGCCGUAGGCCCCCCCACCCCCGGGUAGGUGUGGCUCCUCUACACAGUCCUGCCAUCACCGCGGUGACGCGAUCCCGGUUUUCUAACUCAUUUCUAACUCCCAUGUUUCCUACUAGGCGGUUACGGCACCGCGGAUUUCGCGGUGGGUGUGGUGGCCGCGUCCUCCUCUUUUAUCUCACGUUUUCCGAGUGGCCGGCAGGGGGCAAGAUGGUCUUUCCACUCGUGAGCUUUUUUCCUUUUUUUCGCAGAAAAUAUUCAUGACAUUGAGAAUAACCCCUCAAAUUAAUAGUAUUUUCUUUUAUGCACGAUAGACUUUUGCCGAAUUGCCAUCCUCGGCCGGUCGGUGUUUGGUCAACGCGUGCAGCGCGCAGGGAGAACACGUGACGUACGGACCUCGUUCAUGGCCGGUCGUACUUUCUGUCUUUCUGCGUUCCCACUGCCCCUUCUACGUUGGUGCAACCGGGCCGGGCCCGAAGUCCAUCGGGCCUAAUUGUAUCAAAGCCCGACAGAGAGUUCUGAGCAUAUUUUAUUUUACACUCAAUUAUGGUAUUUAGCAAGGCAAGAAACGGAAGCGUGGUUUUUAAAAACUAAAAAUAACAUUUUAAAUGAUUUAUAUUAUGCAAAUAUAUGCCGCAAACCAUGGUUAAAAAAGGAAUGAUACUUCUGUUUUUUUAAUGCUGCAUGUUAGAAGUUUUGUGUAGAAAAACUUGCUUACUGUAAUAAAUUAUAGAAAAUUUAUAUAUUUAUUUAUGUUUAAUAUGUAGGAUUUGUUUUCAGAUUUGCUGUUAAAAAAAGCAUUUGAUCGUGCGGACGGUGGAGAAGGGAGGGUAUAAUGGUAAUUAAUGAGAAUAAGGUGGGUGCUUUGGAUGACUAGUUCGUGCGUACUCCCUUCCCGCGCUUCCUCGAGCGUAUAAAUACUGGCUUCUUCGUUCUUUGAUGAGCAUCAUAUUCGCAGCAGGAGAAGAAUUUUUCCGUAGAAAAUCCUUACUUGUUUUCCGGGGGAUGCUGGUACGGUCUCCUCCGGUCUCAGGCUUUUGUGUUCUGUGCUCUGCGUCGAUAUUCUUCAAUAUCUUUAUUGUUCCUAAAAUCUGAUUGAUCUCCGUGCAAUUGGCUCGCUGAUUGUAAAAUUCCCGCCUGAGUGGAACAGAGUGGGUCAGUCUAGGUUUUUUUUUGGAAAACACGCUUUCCAUUGUGUUCCUUGUCCGGACAGAAGACCUCUGACGUAGAUAUAGGGAUGUGGAUCGGAGAACAAUCUCGUACUAUCGAACUGGAAAAUAUCCAGUUCGUUUCUAUAAUUAUGUGGUUUAUAUCGGCGACAUGUUUCUUAAUAAAUAUAUCUGUAUUUAUUUUUCUAUAAAUGAACACGCAGCAUCUGGAUCUGGAAUGGAACUUAGUUUACAAGUUUGUAAUUCGCUGAACGUUUAUAUCAGGAGAGGUGCGAAUGAUGUCAAAUAUAACAGUAUGUGUGCGAUUCAGACCUCUAAGUCCAAAAGAAAAGGAAGCCGACGGCGGAGCAAUCUGUGUUCAGGGACUGGAUUCUGAGACUUUCUUUUUGAAGGUUCCUCUUCCUCCCUAUAUCUGUAAUUUCAUGAUUGAAAUUUUUUCAUGCCAACCGGAUCUGUCUGCUAGGCUGAGAAAGAAGAAGAGCUCGCGUUUUGCUUCGACAAGGUGUUUUAUCAGGACUCAGAACAAGAAGAUGUGUUCCAAUAUCUCGCCAUGCCUAUCGUUCAAGGUGGAGACAUUCUACGGUUAUCACAUGUUCCAUCUACGACCAAAUACACGUCGUACCUCCUUUUUCUUAGUGUCGGCAAUGCCCUUGCAUCAUCAUGGCAUCAACUUUCAGAUGCAAUCAUCAUUAUUUCCGUUGUGAUAAUGAGCUAAUUUUGGCGAUUUUAUCCAUGUCAUUCUUCGGAACAUUUUUUAACAGACACCAUGAAUGGAAUAAAUGGCACGAUCGUUACUUAUGGCCAGGUGAGUCACGUUAACUUUUCCUUUUUGUUAAGUGUUAUGUUUUGUUAAUCCGUGUACGUGUUAUCUAUUCAAAUAAUCAUGCUUCUGCACCACAUAAAAACGGACACUCUCUCAUGGAUUUCAUAUGAUUCCGUGAUUUCGAAUUUUGCACUUUCUCGCGUGUUUACAUCGUUUAUAUUUUACCUGAAAUUAAUUCGAAAAUUUUUAGGCAUCUCAAAAGGACAAAUGCAUCAGAAUUCAAAAUGCCUUCAAUUCAGACUUUUGUUUACUAAGCUGUGGUUAUUAUUGGAAGAAUCCUUGUGUUAUUAUUGAUUGUUUUAUUGUAACGAUAUAAUCAUAUUAGCAGUGUAUGUUACAUAGAUAUAAUCACAGUAGUAUUUUAUUUUUAAAAUGAUGAAUGGUUAUGGACAUAAUUUCUGAUAGCAUUGUACGUUAAUAGGAAAACAUUAAGAUAUUGAUCAUUUUUUUUGUACAAUAAAUAUGAAUGUCGAAUGCUGUAGAGCAGCAGAGUGGUGAGUAGGAUCUGUGUAUUAAAAUGAAAAUAAAGGCUUAAGAUUAGCCCUGGUUCCUCAUGGCUUUGCUAGUGGAUUAAUACUGUUUACGAUUGAGUAGGAACAAUAAUUUGUGAAUUGGGCUUCCGAAGCAUGUAUUCAUCUGGAUGGUGGAAACUAUACCUUUUAUAGGAUUAACUCUGUUUCAUUAUUUACUUCGUCCCUGAAGACAUCCAUAUACAGAAUCAGCAAAACACUCUGAUUAAGAUUUUUCAAUGACAUAUUUUACCCUGGAAAUACGCGCUGCAAACAGACUGGAGCAGGGAAAACUUACAGCAUGGAGGUGAAAUUAUUUGGUUAUUUCUGCUUCUUGCACCCAGACGACCCAUUGUUAAAAAUUAUUAUAUCCUGAAAAAUUUUAAUGUGCUUCUAUAUAAUCAUAUUAGGGCCCCAGUAUUUCAGACUAUGAUGGACAAAAAAAAGGACUUCUUCCUCGCGUGGUUGACAAUCUCUUUGAGCAUAUAAAAUUUUCUGAGGAGACUACUAAAUGUACUGUCAAGAUAUCAAUGGUACGCCCUUUGAUUUCUACGUCCAAAAAGUUACUAGUUGGCCCCACUAACUUCAGUUUCUCUUCAGGUGGAAAUCUAUAUGGAGAAAGUGAGGUACGUUUCUCCAGGAAAGGCCUUUUGUUUAUUUCAAGAAAGUCAGAUGAUCACCGUACAAACAGAGGUUCUUACUGUUAACAGACACAUCAAGAUGUAAAAAUCUAAAUGCUCUCACUCUUUAUGUCAGAGAUCUUUUUGAUUUAUCAAAAGACAAUCUGCAAAUCAAGGAAAGUAGAACACAGGGUAUUUUCCUUUCUGGCGUAACAGAGGUGAGCAAACUCUCAGUCAGCGCACUGUUUUCAACGCUUGCCUGGUUCAGUGCAAAAUAAUAUGUGCCCCGUGCUGUCAGACACUCAUUACCUGCAGCUUUGGUAUUUUUCAGGCUACUGUAUUGGAUCCUGAAGAAGCAUUGGGAUGCCUUUCGGUAUAAAUAUUUCAUCAUCCAACUGUUAUCUUUUAAGCUGUAACGACUGUCUGAUAUCUAUUAUGCUUUGCAGCGUGGAAUUGCCAAUAGAGCAGUUGGGGAGACGCGUAUCCAUCACUUGGCCAUGUUUCCUGACAUUAUUAAAUUCAAGAAUUAUGAUUUGUGCACUUGUAUUCACCUUCAUGUAUUGGUUUCGGACCUUGACAUUAACAGAAAUGAACAUGGUGAGCAGCAGGAGUCAUUGUAUAUACACCUUUCUGGUUCAUCAGGAAUCUUUGAAGGAUGAUUGGUAUUCUGAUAUUUUCUUCAUGUUUCUUUCAACAUGAUAUCACAUAGAAACAUAUAGGCACGGCAUUACGGAGACACCUCAAUCCUAAUCUCUCUCUCUCUAUAUGUGUGCGUAUGUGGGUGUGUGUGGGAUCUUGCAGCCGACUAUUAUUUACGAAUUUAGAUUUCUCUUAUUCCUUGUCUAUGUAGAAGAAAUAAUUACUCGCAGUCAAAUUGGGGCUUUUGGUAACUUGAACAGGUCAAAAACUGGAAAGCUUGUUCUAGUUGACUUGGCUGGUUCCGAGAAGGUCGAGAAAUCUGGUGCUGAAGGGAGGAACCUCGACGAAGCGAAGACCAUCAACAAGUCCCUCUCCGCCCUCGGAAACGUAAUCAAUGCUCUCACAACGGGUGAACAUAAACUCCUUGCUCAGUUCAACUUAUUUCUCUAGUGAACACACUACACGGAAUCGAAUGAUUUUUAAACCAAUCAACAGGCAAAGUAAACCAUAUACCCUAUCGUGAUUCAAAGCUCACCCGUAUUCUGCAAGAUGCAUUGGUCGGUCCUAACCCUCAACACCCCCUCCUUCCUUCCCCAUCGACAUAUUUCUACUAAUAUUUCUGUCCUUUCAGGGUGGGAAUUCGCGCACGGCACUACUGUGCUGCUGCUCCCCCAGCUCCUCGAAUGCAUCAGAGAGCUUGUCUACCCUUCGCUUUGGAACAAGGUAUACGUCCUGCGAUUUAACGGAGCUACUCCGAUGAUGAGGACAGGGUCUGUUUAUAUCUUUCCAGGACUAAGCUGAUAAAGACCCCGUUGAGGGCUCCUGCUGAGGCAACACAGACGACCCCCUUUCAGCCCCGCAGAAGCUCAUACGACGGAAUAUUAGAGAAGGUGGGGAAACCAUAGUUGGUCGCAAUGGUUCGCUUGCCCCGAGCCUUUUUGGGUUUUCCUGUUCAGCGGAUCACCUUUCCUCGCAGUUGAGGAAGUCCCUCACCCCAGAAGACGUGAUGCUGUUGGAGGAGCUAUUUAUAGGGGAGGGGAUCCUGUUCGACCCUCAGUCAACCGAGGACUUGGAGUCAGCCUUUGAGGAUCUGAUCAGCCUAUCCGUUUCCUCGAUGCAGGAAACCAUCGAGGAGCUCAAUGACGCGCUUGAAAAGGUGACGUGUCCUUCUACUGCACAUAACGAGAGUCUAAGGCACUUCGUAGAGUUUUCACUUACUGCUGUCCAUGGUCACAGCUCUCUUUGAAGUAUGACGCUCUCGCGGCCGAGCUGGAAGCUGCAAAGCAGUCACCAAGGGUACACGUGUCCGCAGGGGAGUAUCCUAAUUUCAUAGGUAAGAUCUUCGGUGUUUUCAAUAAAUUCUAGCUAGACAAAGACCAGUGUAUACGCUUUCUCCUCGAGCACUCAACCAUUGGCCGGGUUUCGACGAUAAGAGACCAUAAAUAUUGUUCUUGAAGACAUCUUAAAAUUCUAGGUAUGAAAACUUUUUGCAGACAAAAAUGGUGUUUAAGUUGACCCACGUAACUUUUUCUCCCACUCAUUGUCUGGAUUGUCCUGAGAUUCAAGAUAUUUUGAGUUUUACGAGAAUAAUGUCAUAGAAAGGGAAUCGUGGUUAGUGACGUGGGACAAAAGAAGAAAAUGCAUGAAUGCAAGUAAAUGGAGAGAAAGAUAGAAUUGAGGGAGAUAAUCAGGAAAUGGAGAGAAUUGAGAUGUGAAAAAAAGGCCAAUUGUUCUAGAAGAAACCCUAAAAAAGGGUUAGAUGUGGAUUCAAGAUCAUCCCCUGUUCUCCUGACGGCUUCCCAAAAGUGUCCUUCCUUGAGGAUUACUAACUAUUUAAAUCAUGUCCCCAACGAGGCUUGCAACCCAUUAGGUAUAGGUUUUCCUUUUCCUCUUCAGAUAUAAGCUAGGCCAAUAGUUAGAUCUAAAAUAAUUACAUCCGUUUACUUAUCUAUUGGAGGAUGAAAUAUAGAUAAAUAUUUUAACUUAAUUAUCAUUAUGUGACAAAAAUUUUUUUAGAAAUAGUUCAUAAUUCUAACUCUCAAUUAAAGGUAAUAGUUUUUGGAAGGCAUGGAGCAUAACGAUCUCAUUGAAGUAUUUUUGUGAAAAUUUAGAUGUAACAUAGGUUUUGAAGCAAAAAAUAUGAUAGAUCCUCUUAGAGAAUCUAUUAAUAACAACAAUAAAAAUAGAGUCAUAUUUCUUUAGAAUUUUGAGUCACCCUAUCACAAAAUUCAUGUUGACAUCUUCUCAUGGAUGUUUGUGACAAGAUGUUCUACUAAUGUGAAAAUUCAAUACUAUAAAACAAGUUUAGCUACAUCUUUUUUUAAAAUUGGAGAUUAAUUUUACUAGUGUGUAUUUUUAGAUGUAACAUAGAUUUUAUAUCUUUGGGUCUUUUUUACUCUAAUAAAGUAUAUUUUAUAUAUAAGAAAAAUCUCACAAAUAAGAUUAAAGAAUAUAUAAGAAAUAUUAUAUGAAAAGAUAUCUAUGUGUUUGCUUGAUAAAUCUCCUUGGAGUGCAAUAAUGAUUUUUGCAAAAUGUAGACACCUAUCGUAAGCUUCAUUCAUCUUUCAAAGCCUCCUUUAGAAACUAAGAUAGAAGCGUGUAAAUUAUCAACUUAAGGCAUCAUAUUCUCACAUUCUAGCUUAUGUUUGAACACAAAAUUGUAUUCUUGAAUAUAUUCAACCCAAUCAUCAUGUCUAAAAUUAAGUUUUUUUAUAAAUUAAGAAAACGAAGGUCUUUUGGUUUGAAUAAAAGAUAAAUUAUUGUGGAAGCAAAUAAAUUAUUGAAGGACUUAAAUGACUGCAUAUAAUUAUUUGUCAUAGGUGGAAUGCUUAAGCUUAGAAAUAUUUAAUUUAUCAUUGAAAUAUGUGAUGGGGUGUCCUUCUUGGUUCAACACUUCAGCUAUGUAAAUAUUAGAUGCAUUGCAUACUAAUUAAUUUUUUUUAAAAAAAUUAAAUAAUUUUAGAACAAGUGAUCAAGUCAAAAUUUUUCUUAGUAAGACUAGAGCAAUACAUCCUCGUGACAAAUCCCCAAAAUCAUAGAAGAAAAGAACAAAAUCUCACUCAAAAUAUAUUGAUUUGAAAUGUAAACUUCAUGGUUUUUUAUAAACUUUAUAGUUCUAAAAACAAAGACAAAACAACCAUAAAUUAGUAGUAGAUAAAAUUGUCUAAAUCUGAAUGAUUACUAUGCCACGAGUGACGGUUGAAUUCUAAAUUUACCUCUGAGUGGCCAAGUUGCAACAUCUAAUCUUAUAGGUUGUGAGGAGGUUGCUUGAUGCCCAUUGUAUUUCUAAUAAUUUGAGGGUGAUAAGCUUUAAAUCUUGGUUACAUGACAUCUAGAAUUUUGCAAAAAAAGGUGGAGUAUAAAAGAGGAUCUAGACUUGAGUUUGUAGGCGAUUAAGAGAAUUCUAAGCUCACUAAAAAAAAAA
rnacentral:lncRNA from 1 species